UACGAAGGGGGCUAGCGUUGCUCGGAAUGACUGGGCGUAAAGGGCGCGUAGGCGGAUGGCACAGUCAGAUGUGAAAUUCCCGGGCUUAACCUGGGGGCUGCAUUUGAUACGUGUUGUCUAGAGUGAGGAAGAGGGUUGUGGAAUUCCCAGUGUAGAGGUGAAAUUCGUAGAUAUUCGGAAGAACACCAGUGGCGAAGGCGGCUCACUGGCCCGGUACUGACGCUGAAUACGAAAGC
rnacentral:rRNA from 1 species